GUCAGAUGAAUAUGCUCUUUUCCUAUGAAUCAGUGAUUGUCAAAUGAAUGAAUUGACGUGUAUUCAUUGAAUUAAUUCAUUAAUCAGAAAUAAAAUACCGUAACGUAUUACGUCGAUUCGUACUCGCAAAAGCCCAAACUACUCUUAUAUCCAUUGAACAAAAUGAGCGAUUCUAACGAGGCCACAGCCAGCACCUCCACUGCAGAUUCUAGCGGUACACAGCGUCCCAGAGGGGUAAAUUAUGAAGCCCUCAAACACCAUAUCGUUACUCACAAAAUUGACUGUGGACUGUGGGCCAUCAGAGUACUGGCUAUUAUAUUAGGAUUUGCAUACUUCAUUCCAAUUUUUGGGUGAGUUUUAGGUGCUAAAAUUAACGAGAAAAAUGGACUGUUGAAAUACCAAAUACAAAAUUCUCCAAAGA